CCCCCCUUCUCUCUCUCUCUCUCCCUCUCUCUAUCGCGGCUGUUUUCUGACGAGAAAAGGAACAUAAAGGACGUAAAAAUUAAUGAAAGCCAAAGAGCUCCGUUCACGCAGGGUUGGAACAAAAGCCAACGAAUCACAGUGAACAAGCGUUUGAGGAGCGAGGGCGCUACAUAUUCCAGUUUCAGCACACGCUCGAAAGAAACUGCUCCACUGAUUCCGCUCCGGUUUUAAAACCGAAUAUCCGACAGGACGCUGCAGACUAGCGCAGUCGACGGAGGCAUCAACGACCCUAACUUUUUCCUUCUGAGAAUAUGUUUUGUUGUCAAGUGGAGUAAGACCAUCCAUCAUAUGCUUCAGUAGUCACAGUGUUUGUGCACUGCCCCCCGCCCCAAGUCUUGGACCACCACAUAACAGCGAGAGGAUGAGAAGACUCAUGGUGUAGGAGGGGGCGACGGAGAACAGCUAGAGACAGACGGAUGAACUCCGGGAGCAGCUACUCAGAUCGGGAUCGCCAGGGGCCCCUCCUCUGCAAGCCUGUCUCUCCAUCCCGGGGAGUGUGGUAGCACGCUGAGGCCAGCUGGGGUGAGCCGUCGUGGGCUUGAGAGGCAGCGUGAACCCCCUUUGGUCAACAGAACCUCUGGAGCACAGAGCUCGGAGAGAAAUCGAUACGGAAAGAGAGAGUGAUGCUGGCACAGCCAAACUAACCCCCUGCCUGCAAGCCCAGUGACCUCAC